rnacentral:rRNA from 1 species
CCUACGGGAGGCUGCAGUAGGGAAUCUUCCACAAUGGACGAAAGCCUGAAGGAGCAACGCCGCGUGAGGGAAGACGGGCUUCCGCUCGUAAAGCUCUGUUGGUAGUGAAGAAAGAUAGAGGUAGUAACUGGCCUUUAUUUGACGUUAAUUAUUUAGAACGUCACGGCUAACUACGUGCCAGCAGCCGCGGUAAUACGUAGGUGGCAAGCGUUGUCCGGAUUGAUUGGGCGUAAAGCGAGUGCAGGCGGUUCAGUAAGUCUGGUGUGAAAGCCUUCGGCUCAACCGGAGAAUUGCAGCAGAAACUGGUGGACUUGAGUGCAGAUGAGGAGAGUGGAACUCCAGGUGUAGCGGUGAAAUGCGUAGAUAUAUGGAAGAACACCAGUGGCGAAGGCGGCUCGCUGGGCUGCAACUGACGCUGAGGCUCGAAAGCAUGGGUAGCGAACAGGAUUAGAUACCCUAGUAGUC